UCAGGGGAUCUGCUGCUUCCGCGUUGAUAGGAAACCUCUUCGACCUCUUUCAUCUUGAUUGGAUCCCCUUGGUCACUGCUACUUCUAGCUCUGAUUGAUUCAGGGCAUGCUUGAUCGAGGAGUGCAAGAAAACAACAAAAAGUCCUGCUGUAGGUUGAAGGGAAGGAGACGAAGGGCAUGGGUACUUGAAAAAUAAGCAAUCACGUUGCCUCCAUCUCCUACAGAUCGAGUUCUUCCAUGAAUUUGACCCUAGACGAUCUGGUUGUUCCUCGUUGGUGCUAUGGAAGGCAUUACGAAUGGGCGAGUUUGGUGGAUAGGUGGC